UAGAUACCCUGGUAGUCCACGCUGUAAACGAUGUCGAUUUGGAGGUUGUGCCCUUGAGGCGUGGCUUCCGGAGCUAACGCGUUAAAUCGACCGCCUGGGGAGUACGGCCGCAAGGUUAAAACUCAAAUGAAUUGACGGGGGCCCGCACAAGCGGUGGAGCAUGUGGUUUAAUUCGAUGCAACGCGAAGAACCUUACCUACUCUUGACAUCCAGAGAACUUAGCAGAGAUGCUUUGGUGCCUUCGGGAACUCUGAGACAGGUGCUGCAUGGCUGUCGUCAGCUCGUGUUGUGAAAUGUUGGGUUAAGUCCCGCAACGAGCGCAACCCUUAUCCUUUGUUGCCAGCGGUUCGGCCGGGAACUCAAAGGAGACUGCCAGUGAUAAACUGGAGGAAGGUGGGGAUGACGUCAAGUCAUCAUGGCCCUUACGAGUAGGGCUACACACGUGCUACAAUGGCAUAUACAAAGAGAAGCGACCUCGCGAGAGCAAGCGGACCUCAUAAAGUAUGUCGUAGUCCGGAUUGGAGUCUGCAACUCGACUCCAUGAAGUCGGAAUCGCUAGUAAUCGUAGAUCAGAAUGCUACGGUGAAUACGUUCCCGGGCCUUGUACACACCGCCCGUCACACCAUGGGAGUGGGUUGCAAAAGAAGUAGGUAGCUUAACCUUCGGGGGGGCGCUUACCACUUUGUGAUUCAUGACUGGGG
rnacentral:rRNA from 1 species